rnacentral:rRNA from 1 species
AAGCCCCUACGGGGGGCAGCAGUGGGGAAUAUUGGGCAAUGGGCGCAAGCCUGACCCAGCAAUGCCGCGUGAAGGAAGAAGGCCCUCGGGUUGUAAACUUCUUUUAUCAGGGACGAAGGAUGUGACGGUACCUGAUGAAUAAGCUCCGGCUAACUACGUGCCAGCAGCCGCGGUAAUACGUAGGGAGCAAGCGUUAUCCGGAUUUACUGGGUGUAAAGGGCGUGUAGGCGGGCCUGCAAGUCAGAAGUGAAAUCUGGGGGCUUAACCCCUAAACUGCUUUUGAAACUGUGGGUCUUGAGUGAUGG